rnacentral:snRNA from 1 species
GACCUAUACCCGGCCGUCG